AAACACCAUUUCUCCGCUCCCUCGAGAACUAAAUGAGGAAACAAGUCGUGAUCGGGAUCAUGGAAACGCGCCCGGUAGAGAGACGAUUCUGAAAGUAACGCACGCGUUGUUUGACAAAGUAACGACAGUGGACACAGCAGCCAUGGCAGCAGUGCCUAGGCUGAGCGCCAAGAUGAGGGCGCUGCCUGGCUCCAACGAACUGUACGAGGUCAGCAGCCAGUGAGACAUAGAUGCCUCCAAUGUGGAUCCACUGGGACCUCAGAGGGAGAGACCAAAGACUGCAGCCAAGAAGCACACAGAGGAUGACGACUUUCCCGAUGAAGAGUUGGGAGACGACCUACUAUCAGAGUAUCCAGUUCAAGUUCCCCUUUUUUAGUCAUUUAGCAGACGCUCUUAUCCAGAGCGACUUACAGUUAGUGAAUACAUGUAUAUAUAUAUUUUUA